rnacentral:rRNA from 1 species
UACGUAGGGUGCGAGCGUUGUCCGGAAUUAUUGGGCGUAAAGGGCUCGUAGGCGGUCUGUCACGUCAGGAGUGAAAACUCGGGGCUCAACCCCGCGCUUGCAUUCGAUACGGGCAGGCUCGAGUUCGGUAGGGGAGACUGGAAUUCCUGGUGUAGCGGUGAAAUGCGCAGAUAUCAGGAGGAACACCGGUGGCGAAGGCGGGUCUCUGGGCCGAUACUGACGCUGAGGAGCGAAAGCGUGGGGAGCGAACAGG